rnacentral:rRNA from 1 species
CACGUAGGGCGCAAGCGUUGUCCGGAAUUAUUGGGCGUAAAGAGCUCGUAGGCGGUCUGUUGCGUCCGCUGUGAAAACCCGGGGCUUAACCCCUGGCUUGCAGUGGAUACGGACAGACUAGAGGUAGGUAGGGGAGAAUGGAAUUCCCGGUGUAGCGGUGAAAUGCGCAGAUAUCGGGAGGAACACCGGUGGCGAAGGCGGGUCUCUGGGCCGAUACUGACGCUGAGGAGCGAAAGCGUGGGGAGCGAACAGG